CCUACGGGAGGCAGCAGUGAGGAAUAUUGGUCAAUGGACGAGAGUCUGAACCAGCCAAGUAGCGUGAAGGAUGACUGCCCUAUGGGUUGUAAACUUCUUUUAUAAAGGAAUAAAACGAGGCACGUGUGCCUUUUUUCAUGUACUUUAUGACUAAGGAUCGGCUAACUCCGUGCCAGCAGCCGCGGUAAUACGGAGGAUCCGAGCGUUAUCCGGAUUUAUUGGGUUUAAAGGGAGCGUAGAUGGGUUGUUAAGUCAGUUGUGAAAGUUUGCGGCUCAACCGUAAAAUUGCAAUUGAUACUGGCAGUCUUGAGUACAGUUGAGGUAGGCGGAAUUCGUGGUGUAGCGGUGAAAUGCUUAGAUAUCAUGAAGAACCCCGAUUGCGAAGGCAGCUUACUAAACUGUGACUGACAUUGAUGCUCGAAAGUGUGGGUAUCAAACAGGAUUAGAUACCCUUGUAGUC
rnacentral:rRNA from 1 species